AGGAUCAUUGUCGAACCUGCAUUAUGCAAAAAUCCCGCUCCUAACAACCAAAGGCGCGGGAUGCGCCAAGGAAAAUCGAAACGAAUCUGACUCCUGCCUCGGUGCAUUGCAUCGUGUCGGCGAGUGUAUUCGAUAAGUCAUAACGACUCUCGGCAACGGAUAUCUCGGCUCUCGCAUCGAUGAAGAACGUAGCAAAAUGCGAUACGUGGUGUGAAUUGCAGGAUCCCGUGAACCAUCGAGUUUUUGAACGCAAGUUGCGCCCGAAGCCUUUAGGCCGAGGGCACGUCUGCCUGGGCGUCACGCACCGUUGCCCCCCAAACCCCCUCAGUCCUCCACGGAGGAUUGGCGAGGCGCGUGGGGGGCGUAAAGUGGCUUCCCGUCGGCUUUGUCCCGCGGUUGGCCUAAAAAUGAAUCCCUAGCCGCGGUGCGCGCGGCAUUCGGUGGUCAUCGAUCCCUUUCGUUACCCCGCCGCGCGCUCACGUGCCGCGAAGGAUGUCACACUAGUAAACCCGACGCCUCGCUUUGUGAAGAGCGGAGCUUACAACGCGACCCCAGGUCAGGCGGGGCUACCCGCUGAA
rnacentral:rRNA from 1 species